CGCACGGUCGCACGCUUCUCUAGCCCCAACGAACCGCAAACCACAAAUCAAGUCACACCCACCUCAGCAUUAGAAGUGCACACCCGCCUAUCGAAUGUCGGAUGAUGAUAAGGCAACAAGUAGGUCUAGAGAAAUGAAAGCUAGUAGGUCUACUGCACCCAUGCAUGGAUGGAAAGAAUCAAUGGACCUGUGGAUAUAGGAUCCGGCCUCCUCAAGGGUCCUCGCGCAUUUACUAAAGAGCCAAGGGGUCUAGUAUGUAAGAAUCAAUGCCAGUCUCAAGUCAAGCACACUGAUGCCGGUUCCUGGCAUCUGGAAUGCCAGAAGGGUCGGAGGAACUUGCACACACAGAACGUACACGUCGUGUCACUGACAGCCCACUCGAGUCUCGUAAACAGAAAACAUAGUGCCCGCUCCUGCAGCGAGCCAAGAUACGGUAACCUCGAUACUUCUUUGUGUGUCACCGCGGUACGCGCACACACACGGAUCCACGGGCUUCCUCUCCGCACUCCUUCUGUCACACCCGUGCGAUAGAUCGUUUCGGACGUCACCUCUCCUCCGUCCCAUUACGAACCUGUAGCCCCAGGCAGCCCUGCGUCCAUUGGCACAGCGCCCCUCGCCACCUGCCACCCUCCCGCUCAGCAAAUAAACGCACGCGCGAGAGCAAAACACCAGCAGGUCCAUAGUAUGGCCAAGGGAGGCUGCCGGUUCCCCGGUCCCAUACAGUCACACAUACAUCUUAUUAAGAAACAUCAGCAGGGUUUAGUUGGCAAGUCUCAGUAGAGAAAUAGACAUCCAUACAUCACCCAAUGCGCGUGGCAAUAUCGCACUGAGUGCUUGCUUGCGCUAGCAAUCCAGCAUCAAGUACGGCCUUUGACACUCCCGCUCGCUCACAUACGGUGAAAUAUCAGUACAGCACGGCAACACUUGCGCGAAUCAGUCCUGACUCCUGCGGUAAACGCCGACUACCGUAGCACGCCCUGCUGUCGUGCUGACAAUGAGAAAUGUGCGGCGGCACAGCCCUGCUGGUUCACUUGAUAGUGGGCCCGAUCAGUAGCUAGUAGCGGCGAUUUGCCUAGCUGUCUAUACUUGCACGCAUACGCUGCAGGCUUUGCCGCCUGCCAUUCAACACACUCCUCAUGCCCUGCUGCUGGCUCGCUUCGAUACUGUACCAUCCACACACGUACGUGUGAGGAGCCCCUCUUGCGCCCGGCCACCAGCACCAAAGCUGCGGCGGCUGCGGCUGCUACUGCUACUGCUGCAUCUUCAAAUGGCGAAGGCAGCAAGCCGCUGGCUGCAGGCUCAUGCAGCUGACGGCGUAACACGGAAGCCAAACGGAACGGAGCGGGCCUUGCCGCUACCAGGCCGCCACCGCUGCCGGUGGCGGGAAGCAGCCGCACGCGCGCUCCAACGCGGCAAACUCCUCCAGCUCCCUUUCCUGCUCGGCCCACGCCGCCGCCGCCAGCUCGAGCGGCCGCCGCUGGGGGUGCCGCCGGUACCGCUGGCAGCUGAUGCCGCCGCCGCCUGCUCCGCCAGGCCCUCCUUCAUCCAGUGUGCGAGCGACCCGAGGUCGAGCUCCUCCUCCUCCUCCUCAACGUCAUCCGCCCAGCGGCGGCCGCUGGGGGUGCCGCCGGUGCCGCUGACAGCUGCCGCCGCCGCCUGCUCCGCCAGGCCCUCCUUCAUCCAGUCUGCGAGCGACCCGAGGUCGAGCUCCUCCUCCGCCUCCUCGUGCGCCUCAACCUCAUCCGCCCAGCUACCGCUCGCGCCACCGCUGCUGCUAAUGCUGGCGCGAGGAGCAAUGCUGCUGCUGCUGCCGUCAGACUCUGACGCUGCCGCGGGCGCGGCCGGUGCGGCUUCCGCCUGCUGCUGCUCGGCCGCCGCGAGCUCCGCCAGUCCCUGCUUCACCCAGGGCGUCUGCUCAAAGAGGUCGCUCAGGUCGAGUCCGUCAGCCUCAUCCUCAUCAUCAUCGCCCCAUCGCGGCGUGGUCGAGCUGCGGUCGACGGUGGAGGUGGAGAUGGGGCUUGCAGCGGCGGCGGGCUUGGUCGGAGCCGCGAGCUUGGGCACCUUGGGCAGGCCGGGCGGCUUCUGCGGGCGCCAGUGGUUGUCGUAGGCAUGGCAAAGCUGGCAGGGGGCGCUCCUGCAGCCAGCAGAUAGGCUGGCAUAGCACCAGCGCAUGCAGGACUUGUGAGGAAAGCAGCAGGCGCUGGGGGCAGGCUCCUGCUGCUCCUGCUGGUGGGCGGCGGCGGAGGGCUCGCUCUCAUCAGAGCCGUGGCCUUGGCUGCGGGGCGUGUGGCGCCAGGCGUCCUGUGCAAACGAGAUCGGGGGAAAAGGAUAGAUGGGGGCGGACAAGCCGUGAGUGCACGGGACGAGGACAAGGGUCGGGGCGCAGAGGGCGGGACAAAGGACCGGGGGUCGGGGACUCGAGCCCCGGCAAAAAAGUCAGGCGCACCGGAAAGGCACGCGCUUUCGGUCAAAGCUGUUGACCGACGCAUUUUACGUGACAAUACAUGCAGCAAUAUGCAGCCAGUGUGGCCGCAGCAGCGCAAGAAGGAAGGCCGAGGAAGCCGAGCGCACUACCGUACUGGCCCGAAAUCUGCAACGCUAUCUAGCCCGCAUCAGAAGCCUAAUGCUUUGCAUGUGGCAUCGGAUACCCAUUGCAGUUGCUCAAGGCUCAAAAUGGCCGUGCCCGAACAUGAAUGGUGCUCACCUGCAUCGGUCGGCUCGGCUCGAAGUCAAGCCCCGGUGCACUUGCGCUUGACCGUGAUGUGGCCAUAGUAGCUCUUGACCGCAACAAGCACUCUUCGCGCGCAGAACUCGAUUCUGCUGCUAGCGCAAUUCUUUCGCUUGACGGAAACUUUUCCUCGCGGUGCCCGGGAGGGAUUCGCGCUAGGAGCUGCUAGUUCGUGACAGUGGUGGUGCUUGCCGCAGCUUUCAUGCGCAUGCGGUGGAAAUCGAGAGAGGUUGCGAACAGCCCUAGAAAUGCUCUUCUUUGCCGUCAGGUGCUCGUAGCUAAGCAGUGGGCGUAAAAGCUGUUUGCGAGAUGUCUUUGCAUCUGUUGAAUGUGCAAUAUGAGCACAGCGCGAAGCUUUUAUCCAGUGGCGGGGACAGUGUCUCGGGCGCCCAUGCAGGCGACACGCGCCCAAUCCCGAGCCUCCCUCCUCGCCUUUACCUUGUCCCUGGACCCGCGCCAUCCGUGUCCCGCUGUUCAAUUCCCGCGUUUCAUACCAGUUCCCCUCCCCUGCGCAGGCCGGUAACCCCUGAUCCCGCCGCUGCCGGGGAUGCAGCCGUGCAGGAUGAGGCCUGAUGAGGUUGACGGCUGGGGAAGUUGGUGUGGGGAAGUUGGUGUAGGUUGGCGGUGAUCCAGCGGGGUGGGUGCCGAUGUGCUAUAGCGGGCGCGAGGCUGUACACGUCAGGAUCUGGCGAGUGUACUGCUUAACACCUACCGCUACGCAGUACUCCGGCUUGCCCCUCCCCCCUCAGGGCGCUCCAUGCCGUGCGCCCCGGAAUGCGGUGUGGGGAUGGGGUGGGGUGGGAUGGACUGGCGGAUGGUGGAAGUAUCAUAUAGGUCUGCUGGGGGCUGCGAGCAGCCAUACUACCGGUCAUGAUAUUGCCUUCGGUAGCUCAGGGCGCCGCGGGCUGGGGGUGGGUAAGUGAGCGGGGAUGGGGGCUCGGACUCAGCGGGGGCACGGACUCAGGGCGUGGAAGCCAGCGAGAAGUGGGCGAGAGUAACGCCGAUGUGCCGGGUGAUGUGCGAGCAGAAUACAGAACGCGGCAUUCGUCAUUACGGGGAAACUAAAACAGAUAGCGCCAACCUUUUGCGCCUCGCGCUUUCGCGCGCAAUUUCCAGGAUCCUCCAACGCGUCGAUUCCUCCGUCUUGCGUCCUUCCGUGCCGGGAGCCUUGAUUAUCGAUACAAUUUGUGAUAUAUUGUAUGUUGCGCUGGAGCUCUAAUGCAAACGCUGCGCUUGUGCGUUUACCCCGCUCUGGCAUAGGGCUUGCGUUUUCAUAAUGUUACGCUUUGCAAUACAUACAUAGAAAGGCGCAUUAUUUGCACGACAAAUUCCGCUGCGCUCGGGUUUCAAGGUUAUAACUCAAGUCAAAACUGGAAUAACCGGGAGGGCCCCCCGCGGCGAGCUCGAUGCGACCGCAAUGGCUAUUGCCCCUCCCCCUUCGGGGGAAGGGGCAAGCCAACCUGGCUUUGUGAUGGCCCCCAAGCGUAGGUGAGGUAGGCGCACGGCGGUGACAAGGCAUGCGGCCAGUGGAACUGCCUUACAGUUACAGCCCGCCCAAGCGCGGUUGUUGCCUUGCCAUGAUUUCCGUGCAGUCUGCUAGCUUCGGCAGGGACGGUGCCCAUCAGUUCCCGAUGUUGACAAACCAUGCAUCCAGCCGCCCACACGUGCUCUCCGUUCGUCACAUACCGUACUCGAACUCCAAUGUCCGCAGAGCGUGUGCGCGAAAUCCACACGCCACACACGCAAGUGACAGCCGCCCGUCCUUGCACAGCAAGCAUCUCCGCGCACGGUCGCACGCUUCUCUAGCCCCAACGAACCGCAAACCACAAAUCAAGUCACACCCACCUCAGCAUUAGAAGUGCACACCCGCCUAUCGAAUGUCGGAUGAUGAUAAGGCAACAAGUAGGUCUAGAGAAAUGAAAGCUAGUAGGUCUACUGCACCCAUGCAUGGAUGGAAAGAAUCAAUGGACCUGUGGAUAUAGGAUCCGGCCUCCUCAAGGGUCCUCGCGCAUUUACUAAAGAGCCAAGGGGUCUAGUAUGUAAGAAUCAAUGCCAGUCUCAAGUCAAGCACACUGAUGCCGGUUCCUGGCAUCUGGAAUGCCAGAAGGGUCGGAGGAACUUGCACACACAGAACGUACACGUCGUGUCACUGACAGCCCACUCGAGUCUCGUAAACAGAAAACAUAGUGCCCGCUCCUGCAGCGAGCCAAGAUACGGUAACCUCGAUACUUCUUUGUGUGUCACCGCGGUACGCGCACACACACGGAUCCACGGGCUUCCUCUCCGCACUCCUUCUGUCACACCCGUGCGAUAGAUCGUUUCGGACGUCACCUCUCCUCCGUCCCAUUACGAACCUGUAGCCCCAGGCAGCCCUGCGUCCAUUGGCACAGCGCCCCUCGCCACCUGCCACCCUCCCGCUCAGCAAAUAAACGCACGCGCGAGAGCAAAACACCAGCAGGUCCAUAGUAUGGCCAAGGGAGGCUGCCGGUUCCCCGGUCCCAUACAGUCACACAUACAUCUUAUUAAGAAACAUCAGCAGGGUUUAGUUGGCAAGUCUCAGUAGAGAAAUAGACAUCCAUACAUCACCCAAUGCGCGUGGCAAUAUCGCACUGAGUGCUUGCUUGCGCUAGCAAUCCAGCAUCAAGUACGGCCUUUGACACUCCCGCUCGCUCACAUACGGUGAAAUAUCAGUACAGCACGGCAACACUUGCGCGAAUCAGUCCUGACUCCUGCGGUAAACGCCGACUACCGUAGCACGCCCUGCUGUCGUGCUGACAAUGAGAAAUGUGCGGCGGCACAGCCCUGCUGGUUCACUUGAUAGUGGGCCCGAUCAGUAGCUAGUAGCGGCGAUUUGCCUAGCUGUCUAUACUUGCACGCAUACGCUGCGGGUGUGCCUCACAUACCAUAAUACCCAGUGCUGCUUCUUUCGCAUAUAACACACGCUCAGCAUGCCCUGCUGGCUCACUUCGAUACUGUGCCAUCCACACACGUACGUGUGACGAGCCCCUCUUGCGAACGGCCGCCGGCACCACAGCUGCGGCGGCUGCGGCUGCUGCUGCUCCUGCUGCUGCUACUGCUACUGCUGCAUCUUCAAAUGGCGAGGGCAGCAAGCCGCUGGCUGCAGGGCUCAUGCAGCUGACGGCGUAACACGGAAGCCAAACGGAACGGAGCGGCCCUUGCCGCUACCAGGCCGCCACCGCUGCCGGUGGCGGGAAGCAGCCGCACGCGCGCUCCAACGCGGCAAACUCCUCCAGCUCCCGCUCCUGCUCAGCCCACGCCGCCGCCGCCAGCUCCAUCGCCAGGCGCAGGCGCGAGGGCAUCACAGCUGACUGCCACUCAUCACCCUGCUGCACCGCCGCGAUCGGCGGAACGACACAGCUGCCCAUGCUGCUGCCGGCGGCGGUGCAGGCCUCCUUGUCAGCGCUAUGCUCCUCCACUGCCGCCUCCACCAACUCCACCUGCUGCGGCGUCUCACUGCCUGCCGCCGCCGCCACCCAGACCAGACUGCAGCUGCUGGCGCUGCGGCUGGUGCGGGCGCUGUCCGGCACGGCGCAGCAGCACGAGCUGAGCGGCGAGUCAGGCGCGUCCAGCCGCUCAGUGACGACGGCCACCUCCUGCGCCGCUUCGGCCGCCGCCGGCACGCACUCGCCCUGGGCCUCUGCUUUCCCCAUCGCCGCCAGCUCCGCCGCCAUCCAGGGCGACAGCGAGGCGAGGUAGGCGCCGAAAUCGCCGGCCUCCUCCGCCUCAACGUCAUCCGCCCAGCGGCGGCCGUUGGGGAUGCCGCCGGUGCCGCUGGCAGCUGCCGCCGCCGCCUGCUCCGCCAGGCCCUCCUUCAGCCAAUCUGCGAGCGACCCGAGGUCGAGCUCCUCCUCCGCCUCCUCAUGCGCCUCAACCUCAUCCGCCCAGCUACCGCUCGCGCCACCGCUGCUGCUAAUGCUGGCGCGAGGAGCAAUGCUGCUGCUGCUGCUGCUGCUGCUGCUGCCGUCAGACUCUGACGCUGCCGCGGGCACGGCCGGUGCGGCUUCCGCCUGCUGCUGCUCGGCCGCCGCGAGCUCCGCCAGUCCCUGCUUCACCCAGGGCGUCUGCUCAAAGAGGUCGCUCAGGUCGAGUCCGUCAGCCUCAUCCUCAUCAUCAUCGCCCCAUCGCGGCGUGGUCGAGCUGCGGUCGACGGUGGAGGUGGAGAUGGGGCUUGCAGCGGCGGCGGGCUUGGUCGGGGCGGCGGGCUUGGUCGGAGCCGCGAGCUUGGGCACCUUGGGCAGGCCGGGCGGCUUCUGCGGGCGCCAGUGGUUGUCGUAGGCAUGGCAAAGCUGGCAAGGGGCGCUCCUGCAGCCAGCAGAUAGGCUGGCAUAGCACCAGCGCAUGCAGGACUUGUGAGGAAAGCAGCAGGCGCUGGGGGCGGGCUCCUGCUGCUCCUGCUGGUGGGCGGCGGCGGAGGGCUCGCUCUCAUCAGAGCCGUGGCCUUGGCUGCGGGGCGUGUGGCGCCAGGCGUCCUGUGCAAACGAGAUCGGGGGAAAAGGAUAGAUGGGGGCGGACAAGCCGUGAGUGCACGGGACGAGGACAAGGGUCGGGGCGCAGAGGGCGGGAGAAAGGGCCGGGGGUCGGGGGCUCGGGCCCCGGCAAAAAAGUCAGGCGCACCGGAAAGGCACGCGCUUUCGGUCAAAGCUGUUGACCGACGCAUUUUACGAGACAAUACAUGCAGCAAUAUGCAGCCAGUGUGGCCGCAGCAGCGCAAGAAGGAACGCCGAGGAAGCUGAGCGCACUACUGGCCCGAAAUCUGCAACGCUAUCUAGCCCGCAUCAGAAGCCUAAUGCUUUGCAUGUGGCAUCGGAUACCCAUUGCAGCUGCUCAAGGCUCAAAAUGGCCGUGCCCGAACAUGAAUGGUGCUCACCUGCAUCGGUCGGCUCGGCUCGAAGUCAAGCCCCGGUGCACUUGCGAUUGACCGUGAUGUGGCCAUAGUAGCUCUCGACCGCACCAAGCACUCUUCGCGCGCAGAACUCGAUUCUGCUGCUAGCGCAAUUCUUUCGCUUGACGGAAACUUUUCCUCGCGGUGCCCGGGAGGGAUUCGCGCUAGGAGCUGCUAGCUCGUGACAGUGGUGGUGCUUGCCGCAGCUUUCAUGCGCAUGCGGUGGAAAUCGAGAGAGGUCGCGAACAGCCCUAGAAAUGCUCUUCUUUGCCGUCAGGUGCUCGUAGCUAAGCAGUGGGCGUAAAAGCUGUUUGUGAGAUGUCUUUGCAUCUGUUGAAUGUGCAAUAUGAGCACAGCGCGAAGCUUUUAUCCAGUGGCGGGGACAGGGUCUCGGGCGCCCAUGCAGGCGACACGCGCCCAAUCCCGAGCCUCCCACUCCUCGCCUGUACCUUGUCCCUGGACCCGCGCCAUCCGUGUCCCGCUGUUCAAUUCCCGCGUUUCAUACCAGCUCCCCUCCCCUGCGUAGGCCGGUAACCCCUGAUCCCGCCGCUGCCGGGGAUGCAGCCGUGCAGGAUGAGGUUGACGGCUGGGGAAGUUGUUGUGGGGAAGUUGGUGUAGGUUGGCGGUGAUCCAGCGGGGUGGGUGCCGAUGUGCUAUAGCGGGCGCGAGGCUGUACACGUCAGGAUCUGGCGAGUGUACUGCUCAAGCUGGCUUUGUGAUGGCCCCCAAGCGUAGGUGAGGUAGGCGCACGGCGGUGACAAGGCAUGCGGCCAGUGGAACUGCCUUACAGUUACAGCCCGCCCAAGCGCGGUUGUUGCCCUGCCAUGAUUUCCGUGCAGUCUGCUAGCUUCGGCAGGGACGGUGCCCAUCAGUUCCCGAUGUUGACAAACCAUGCAUCCAGCCGCCCACACGUGCUCUUCGUUCGUCACAUACCGUACUCGAACUCCAAUGUCCACAGAGCGUGUGCGCGAAAUCCACACGCCACACACGCAAGUGACAGCCGCCCGUCCUUGCACAGCAAGCAUCUCCGCGCACGGUCGCACGCUUCUCUAGCCCCAACGAACCGCAAACCACAAAUCAAGUCACACCCACCUCAGCAUUAGAAGUGCACACCCGCCUAUCGAAUGUCGGAUGAUGAUAAGGCAACAAGUAGGUCUAGAGAAAUGAAAGCUAGUAGGUCUACUGCACCCAUGCAUGGAUGGAAAGAAUCAAUGGACCUGUGGAUAUAGGAUCCGGCCUUCUCAAGGGUCCUCGCGCAUUUACUAAAGAGCCAAGGGGUCUAGUAUGUAAGAAUCAAUGCCAGUCUCAAGUCAAGCACACUGCUG
rnacentral:lncRNA from 1 species